UACGAAGGGGGCUAGCGUUGCUCGGAAUCACUGGGCGUAAAGGGCGCGUAGGCGGACUCUUAAGUCGGGGGUGAAAGCCCAGGGCUCAACCCUGGAAUUGCCUUCGAUACUGAGAGUCUUGAGUUCGGAAGAGGUUGGUGGAACUGCGAGUGUAGAGGUGAAAUUCGUAGAUAUUCGCAAGAACACCGGUGGCGAAGGCGGUCUGCUGGGCAGUUGCUGACGCUGAUGCGCGACAGCGUGGGGAGCAAACAGG
rnacentral:rRNA from 1 species